rnacentral:rRNA from 1 species
AUACAGAGAUGGCAGGCGUUGUUCGGAAUUAUUGGGCGUAAAGAGCGCGUAGGCGGCCUUGUAAGUCGGGUGUGAAAUCCCCCGGCUCACCCAGGGAACUGCAUUCGAUACUGCUGGGCUUGAGGACAGGAGGGGAGAGUGGAACUUCUGGUGGAGCGGUGAAAUGCGUAGAUAUCAGAAGGAACACCGGUGGCGAAAGCGACUCUCUGGCCUGUUUCUGACGCUGAGGUGCGAAAGCUAGGGGAGCAAACGGGAUUAGAAACCCGAGUAGUCC